GAUGAACGCUGGCGGCGUGCCUAAUACAUGCAAGUCGAGCGAACAGACGAGGAGCUUGCUCCUCUGACGUUAGCGGCGGACGGGUGAGUAACACGUGGAUAACCUACCUAUAAGACUGGGAUAACUUCGGGAAACCGGAGCUAAUACCGGAUAAUAUAUUGAACCGCAUGGUUCAAUAGUGAAAGACGGUUUUGCUGUCACUUAUAGAUGGAUCCGCGCCGCAUUAGCUAGUUGGUAAGGUAACGGCUUACCAAGGCGACGAUGCGUAGCCGACCUGAGAGGGUGAUCGGCCACACUGGAACUGAGACACGGUCCAGACUCCUACGGGAGGCAGCAGUAGGGAAUCUGCCGCAAUGGGCGAAAGCAUGACGGAGCAACGCCGCGUGAGUGAUGAAGGUCUUCGGAUCGUAAAACGCUGUUAUUAGGGAAGAACAAAUGUGUAAGUACUAUGCACGUCUUGACGGUACCUAAUCAGAAAGCCACGGCUAACUACGUG
rnacentral:rRNA from 1 species